rnacentral:rRNA from 1 species
UACGGAGGGGGCUAGCGUUGUUCGGAAUUACUGGGCGUAAAGCGCACGUAGGCGGCUUUGUAAGUUAGAGGUGAAAGCCCGGGGCUCAACUCCGGAAUUGCCUUUAAGACUGCAUCGCUAGAAUUGUGGAGAGGUGAGUGGAAUUCCGAGUGUAGAGGUGAAAUUCGAUAGAUAUUCGGAAGAACACCAGUGGCGAAGGCCGGACUCACUGGACACAUAUUGACGCUGAGGUGCGAAAGCGUGGGGAGCAAACAGG